CGCGUAGGCGGUUUUGUAAGUAAGAUGUGAAAGCCCUGGGCUUAACCUAGGAACAGCAUUUUAAACUACAGGACUGGAGGUCAGUAGAGGGUGGCGGAAUUUCCGGUGUAGCGGUGAAAUGCGUAGAGAUCGGAAGGAACAUCAGUGGCGAAGGCGGCCACCUGGACUGAGUCUGACGCUGAGGCGCGAGAGCGUGGGGAGCAAACAGGAUUAGAUACCCUGGUAGUCCACGCUGUAAACGAUGAGAACUAGAUGUUGGUCUGCGCGAGCGGAUGAGUAUCGAAGCUAACGCGAUAAGUUCUCCGCCUGGGGAGUACGGCCGCAAGGUUAAA
rnacentral:rRNA from 1 species